CAUGGGUGAGGAGGGUCAGCUGGUGUUGUGAAUCAGGCCGCUGAAGAGACACGUACGGCUUUUUCACAACGCCAGGGUCCCUCU
rnacentral:pre_miRNA from 10 species